AUGGCGCCGCCGCCGCGCCGCCUCCUCCUAGUCCUCCUCGGGUUCCUUGCCGCUGCCUCUCUAGCUACCCUCGCCGCCGCUGUCUACGAAGACCAAGUCGGCCUCGCUGACUGGCAUCAGAAGUACAUAGGCAAAGUUAAGCAGGCAGUUUACCACACUCAGAAGAGUGGGAGGAGGCGUGUCGUGGUCUUGACAGAGGAAAAUGUGAUCGCCUCUCUUGAUCUUCGUUCAGGAGAUAUAUUUUGGCGACAUGUCAUUGAGAAGAACAACCCCAUCGACCAGCUUAGUCUUUCAGCGGGAAAAUAUGUUGUUACUCUUUCUUCGGGAGGUAGUAUAUUGAGGGCAUGGAAUCUUCCUGAUGGACAAAUGAUCUGGGAAACCAAUAUUCAAACUUCCACAUCAUCAAAGUCGUUGCUGCAUGUUUUGUCAAACAGUAAAGUGGUAAAGGAUAAUUUGGUUUUAGUUUUGGCUGGACAAUGGAUUUAUGCUGUAUCAAGCAUUGAUGGAGUCAUUUCUUGGGGAAAGGAGUUCACACUUGACGGCCUAGAAAUCAAGCAGGUCGUUCAAUCACCUGAGAAUGAUAUUGUCUAUGUUGUUGGGAUUGCUGGUUCCUCAAAGCUUGCUGUUUAUCAGUUGAAUGCUAAAACUGGAGAGAUAGUAAAGGAUGCCCAAGAGUCAUUGCCUGAUGGAUUAUGUGGUGAAAUAUUACUUGGUUCCAGUAAUGUGUUGGUAGCACUGGAUGAGACCAGGUCAGCUCUGUUUAUUGUUGAGUUCAAGGGUGAGAGCAUCAGCUACAACAAGGUGCAGAUUUCAGAGUUUGUUCAAGACUUUUCUGGGACGGUCAAACUUCUACCACUGAUGUCUAAUGGUAUCAUAGCUUUGCAAUCAUCUUCUACUGUUUCUCUCCUGAAGCUUAAAGGUAUGGAUGGGUUGGAAGUAAUCCAUAGCUUUGACCAACCAGCCUCUGUGAGUGAUGCUCUGACAAUAACAGAAAAAUAUGAAGCCUUUGCUGUUGUGCAACAUGUGGGUUCUCAAAUUGAAUUUAUUGUCAAAGUUACAAGUGAUUUAACCAAUGAGAUUAUUAGGGAGAAAGUUGAUAUAGAUCAGCAUAGAGGCAGUGUACACAAGGUCUUCUUGAAUAAUUAUGUCCGCACUGAUAAAUCUCAUGGUUUUCGGGCUCUGGUUGUAAUGGAAGAUCAUUCCAUCCUGUUAAUUCAACAAGGUGCGGUUGUCUGGAGCAGAGAGGAUGGACUUGCUUCAAUUGUUGAUGUAAUGGCUUCUGAAUUGCCUGUUGAGAAGGAUGGUGUCUCAGUUGCGGAUGUGGAACACAAUCUCUUUGAAUGGCUUAAGGGACAUGUGCUGAAACUCAAAGGAACUCUAAUGCUUGCUAGUGUUGAUGAACUUGCUGCAAUCCAAGCAUUGAGAGUCAGAAGCUCUGAGAAAAAUAAGAUGACCAGAGACCAUAAUGGAUUCCGCAAACUUCUUAUUGUGUUGACCAAGGCUGGCAAAGUGGUAGCUCUGCAUACUGGAGAUGGCCGUAUUAUCUGGUCAAAUUUGUUGCCUUCCCUUCGUGCUUCUAAAUCUGGCGAAAUGCCUUCUGCCUUGAGGAUAUACCAAUGGCAGGUACCCCAUCACCGUGUUAUGCGUGAGAACCCAUCCAUACUUGUUGUGGGAAGAUCUGGAGCCAGCUCUGUUGCUCCUGGUGUCCUCUGUGUUCUUGAUUCGUAUUCCGGAGAGGAACUCAACUCUCGGAGCUUUGACCAUUCUGUUGCCCAAAUUAUCCCAUUGACACUGAAGGAUUCAUCUGAACAGCGUCUUCAUCUUAUUGUUGAUUCCAACUCCAACGCUCACCUAUAUCCAAGAUCUCUGGAUGCCCUUAAUUCAUUUAUUAGUGAAAUGUCAAAUCAGUAUUUCUAUUCUGUAGAUAUUCAGAAAAAUGCUAUCAGAGGGUAUUCAUUACAGAAAUCAUGUGACUUCAAUUCGGAUGACACAUACUGCUUUAGCACAAAGUUGUUAUGGUCUAUCAUUUUCCCUUCCGACGCAGAAAGGAUUUCUGUCUCCGAAGCACGAAAGAUGAAUGAGGUUGUUCACACUCAAGCAAAGAUCAUAGCAGAUCAAGAUGUGAUGUACAAGUAUUUAUCAAAGAACUUAAUUUUUGUUGCUACGGUGUCUCCUAAUGCUGCUGGUGAAAUUGGAUCCGCGGCACCUGAAGAAGCUUCACUCGUGGCAUAUCUCAUUGAUGCUGUCAGCGGACGCAUACUACACCGUGUGACCCAUCAUGGUGCACAAGGCCCUGUGCAUGCCGUUGUCAGCGAGAACUGGGUUGUCUAUCAUUAUUUCAACCUCCGAGCUCACAGAUUUGAAAUUGCAGUGAUUGAGAUAUAUGACCAAUCUAGGGCGGACAAUAAAGAUGUAUUGAAGCUCAUACUUGGGAAGCACAAUUUGUCUGCACCCAUGACUUCUUAUUCCCGACCAGAGGUUAUGGUGAAAUCCCAGUCAUACUUUUUUACUCAUUCGGUGAAGGCAAUGGCAGUUACACAAACAGCCAAGGGUAUCACUUCCAAGCAGCUUCUCAUUGGCACGAUUGGUGACCAGGUUUUGGCACUUGACAAGCGCUUUCUUGACCCACGCCGUUCAUUGAAUCCUACACAACAAGAGAAAGAAGAGGGUAUUAUACCGUUAACAGAUUCUUUGCCUAUUAUUCCACAGUCCUAUGUGACACACUCUCUUCAAGUGGAAGCACUGCGAGGAAUUGUUUCUAUUCCGGCAAAGUUGGAGUCCACUACUCUUGUUUUCACUUAUGGUGUGGAUCUCUUCUACACUCGGCUUGCACCAUCAAGAACCUAUGAUUCACUCACGGAUGAAUUCAGUUAUGCUCUUCUUCUAAUUACUAUUGUCGCGUUGGUUGCUGCUCUUUUCGUUACUUGGAUUUGGUCUGAGAAGAAGGAAUUAAGAGACAAGUGGAGGUAA
rnacentral:rRNA from 1 species